rnacentral:rRNA from 1 species
UACGAAGGGGGCUAGCGUUGCUCGGAAUUACUGGGCGUAAAGCGCACGUAGGCGGCUUCUUAAGUCGGUGGUGAAAUCCUGGAGCUCAACUCCAGAACUGCCUUCGAUACUGGGAAGCUCGAGUCCGGGAGAGGUGAGUGGAACUGCGAGUGUAGAGGUGAAAUUCGUAGAUAUUCGGAAGAACACCAGUGGCGAAGGCGGCUCACUGGACCGGUAUUGACGCUGAGGUGCGAAAGCGGUGGGGAGCAAACAGG